GCCUAUAUUUCAUCACCGAGGCAUGAACUGGUUAUCCUGAUAGAGGAAUUUGCUUCGGCGUGCUAGAGAAAGUUUUUUGAUGAAGAGGAGGGAAUGAACGAAUCAAUAUAUUCUGGAAAAGCACCAAAGAUGACUAACACAUACUGCCAUUUAUAAGACACUACAACCAUAGAGAAUUGAAGCAUGUCAAAAUUUGAACUUAAAAACUAAUACAAAACUUUUGUGCUUUAAGUUCAUUGUUUAUAGGACUGUAAAACGAAAAACUAAUUAAACAUUCAUUUCAAAGCUCACACACGAAAAAAAAAAAAAAAAAAAAAAA
rnacentral:misc_RNA from 1 species